rnacentral:hammerhead_ribozyme from 1 species
AUCUAGCUGACGAGUCUUAAAUAAGACGAAACACGCUCCAAACUGGAU